GGAAUAUUGGACAAUGGGCGCAAGCCUGAUCCAGCCAUGCCGCGUGCAGGAUGACGGUCCUAUGGAUUGUAAACUGCUUUUAUACGAGAAGAAACACUACUUCGUGAAGUAGCUUGACGGUAUCGUAAGAAUAAGGAUCGGCUAACUCCGUGCCAGCAGCCGCGGUAAUACGGAGGAUCCAAGCGUUAUCCGGAAUCAUUGGGUUUAAAGGGUCCGUAGGCGGUUUAAUAAGUCAGUGGUGAAAGCCCAUCGCUCAACGGUGGAACGGCCAUUGAUACUGUUAGACUUGAAUUAUUAGGAAGUAACUAGAAUAUGUAGUGUAGCGGUGAAAUGCUUAGAGAUUACAUGGAAUACCAAUUGCGAAGGCAGGUUACUACUAAUUGAUUGACGCUGAUGGACGAAAGCGUGGGUAGCGAACAGGAUUAGAUACCCCAG
rnacentral:rRNA from 1 species